rnacentral:rRNA from 1 species
AUUGAACGCUGGCGGCAUGCCUUACACAUGCAAGUCGAACGAUAACAGGUCUUCGGAUGCUGACGAGUGGCGAACGGGUGAGUAAUACAUCGGAACGUGCCUAGUAGUGGGGGAUAACUACUCGAAAGAGUGGCUAAUACCGCAUGAGAUCUACGGAUGAAAGCAGGGGAUCGCAAGACCUUGUGCUACUAGAGCGGCCGAUGGCAGAUUAGGUAGUUGGUGGGAUAAAAGCUUACCAAGCCGACGAUCUGUAGCUGGUCUGAUAGGACGAUCAGCCACACUGGGACAGAGACAAGGCCCAGACUCCUACGGGAGGAAGCAGUUGGGAAUUUUGGACAAUGGGCGGAUGCCUGAUCCAGCAAUGACGCGUGCAGGAUGAAGGCGUUCGGGUUGUAAACUGCUUUUGUACGGAACGAAAAGCCCCGGGUUAAUACCCUGGGGUCAUGACGGUACCGUAAGAAUAAGCACCGGCUAACUACGUGCCAGCCGCCGCGGUAA